UUUUUCCAUAUUUCUUCAUUUAUUGAUUCUUAAGAUAAUUUAAAGGAUGGGCGUCCCUAUAUAGCUAAAAGAAAUUCUAGGUAUGUCUUAUUUACUCAUAGGCAGUGAUAGUAUAAAGAAUUCUUAUACAAUUAAUUAUAUACUUUUAUCAAAUAACUUUCCUCGUUUUUAAAUUACUAGUCGCACUUUUGUACACAGUUAUCAACGAUUAUCUUUUAAAACCACCUGUAGGCGAUACUUCUUAAUCAUAUAUCAUAUAUAUAUAAAAGCAGGUCAUAGGCCCGCUGACGUGGCGCAACACAAAUGUAGGGUUUUCAUUUAUCUUUUUCCUCAAAAUUUUGCCUUUUUACCUUAUUUAUUCCUGAUUUUUUCAUUAAAAUAAUAAAAGAGCAGAAAAGACACGUCUGUAUUCCUAGGUUUUCUUCCUACUUUUCGUUUACCUUCACGUUGAUUCGACUUAAGCGUCCCUUCGGCUACUGCGAGAUAAAAACAAGGCAAACUUUAACUGUUGCUUUCUCUCCAAAAAAACCUGCCAACGACGCUAUUUCAACCCAAAAACUCAAAAGAACAGAAAAUUAAAAGAGCAGAAAAUAAAAGCUUACCUUCUCUGAAUAUCCAAAGGCCAUGUACUGCAGUUUCAUUGCUGCAACUCUGCCCUUAGGUGAAUCGUUCUUCUUUUACAGUAUUCUCAUUUGUAAAGGUAUGUAUAUUCAUAUCCUCUGCCUUCCUGGUUUUCAAUUGUUUAUGUGCAUGCUUCAUUUGAACUUUUUGCUUAUUUCUUGCAAAUUGAAAAAAUGUUAAUCUUCUUGAUUUUUGUAUUCUUUAACAUUUUAACGUUAUGUAUUACUGUGCACAAACGAAUAGUACAUAAGUAAUGUACAAUUAUGGAAGGAAAACGAAAACUCCAAUAGUUUUUCCUGUUCUCUUGUGAGAUUGAACACAUUGAGCUUCGACAAGGUCAAUAGCUUAACUUUUUUUUUUUUUUUUUGGAAUACUUCGUGAGAAUUAUGUCUGAUUUUAAUAUUGGCUUUUUGAAUGAGUUUGGUGUAAAGCUAGCGAAAUCUUGAUCCUUCCUUGAUGUUCUUUAGGUUUCUCUUUCACUUUUUACCCUUUUGUUUCUUGCUUCUCACUUAAGGUAUGAAUCACAGCGAGAAAAACGCCACAAGUUUUUUACUUCAAUUAAUCCUCAGGCACGAGUAGCUAGGAGUACGUUUCAAGCCAAGAGAGAGGACUUUGGUUCUGAAAAUUUUGCUAUGUCUAUCUAGCUGGAAUCCAUUAUAUUGUACUUCUUCCGCCUUUAGACUAUUUCCCAAGGUAUCGAAGUUUCAUAUAUGUGGUAUCGAAGAAGAUUGUAGAAGUUGUAACAUGAACAACCUCUUCCGUGAUCUUUCAUCUGGAUUCCACCUUCGUCCACCCCCUUUGUUCCCUCCUCCUGCUAAUGUUUUUUUCACAAAAAAAAUAAUACUUAUGCUUUUAACAGAGUUUCUUUACACCGGAAGGAUUUGAGCACUAUUGGUAAGUGUCCAAACUGGAGGCUCUUAAAUUAGUAUGUGUUUAAAGGCAAGGAAUGGGACGUAUUUGAGGGAAGAUUUCCUAUGAAAUUCUUGCUACUGAAACGUUUGGCCAUUCAAUACUGGAGAGCCCAUGGUGAUCACUUUCUAUGCGUGAACGAUUAUUUGUCAAAGCUUGCUGGUACUUGGAUUCCAUCCCUCAAGAUUUCUUAUAAAUAACCACAUUUGAGCUAAUAGAUAUAAGCGGCUGACAAUCUAUUGGAGCUCCACCAAGCAGAUUCAACAGGACAUUGAAGACAAUUACACAAGUUUUUUAGAGACAAAUUGGAACCGCUUCUUUGCAAUACAAGUUAUGCUAAAGGAUUUGUCAAGAAUUUGAAGGGCUCGCAAGGAAAUGAAAGAAGUUCACAUUGCUAUUGAGCUGGAUGAAAUAUACAGAGAUGAAUGACUACAUUACCUUUUCAUAAUAUUUAAUUGGAAUACCAUUCAACAAUUUAUUUACCAGUAUUUAUUUGGAACAUCAAGUAAUAAAUAUUUGUCAAUGUGGUAAUACAAUUGAUGUACUCUUUUUAUUUUUUUAUUAGGUAUUUUUUUUAUUUUUUUUAUUAUGUAGUAUUAUUUUUAUAAUGAUUAAAAAGUUCUCCUUUUUUCUGUUAAGCAAAUCGACCUUUUGACAAAUCGAAGAGAGAAAAGAGACUUGGUCUUUGUCUUGCUAUAUGUUUAUAUGAGAAAAGAAGAAAUUUUGCUUUGUUCUGUUUUUUAUUUGAGAAAUUGAUCAAGUACCAAAUUUGAGAGUUCUGCCUUUUUACGAAUUAGCCUUUGGAUGCAAGUUUUGCGGAAAGAAGUUUUUGCAUAAAUUGGAUUA